CAUUUUGUUCCAAGACGCAGCAGAGAUGGGUUGUUGGUUGUGAGUUGUGACGUUUCUCACGAUGAAAAUUAAAAGGUAUUUAUUGUUAAUUUCAUAUUGUUAUUGAAUGUAAAAUGUUGAUGUUAAAAUUUACAGAUGAUUUAGCACGUAGAAACCAAUUUGCCAAAUCAUUCAACUCAGACUUGGAAGUGCCUGUACAUUUCCGAAAUGGCGUGCCUCGUGCGUCUCGCUGCCUGUUCUUUGGCGUACGUCUCAUCCCAUUCAACAGCAAAAAGUACAACAAACACUUCUUUAACGCUGGUGGUUACCUUGUUGCAGCCAAAUGGUGAAAGGUGUGACGAAGACACAUUGAACUGUUGUAUGCAGCAUGUGGUUGCAGUGUAAUCCAGAAGUUGCUGUGCCGUUGUAGCUGAGCUGUUCCAUCUGGGUUCCUGACUUCAAAAUUUUUGUGUUGUCGUUUUCAUCCAUGCCAUGAAAUUGCUCUGUGUUAACUGCUUGCUGAAAAGUUUGAUCUGUUGUCUCUCGAGUUUUCAUUCAAUCAUGCAGUAUACAACUGAGGCAGCCUGAUCAAUAUCAGGUUUGACACAGUCGAGAACUGCUAGAUUAAACAAGCUUU